GGCUCCAUAGUGAAGUGGUUAGCGCAUCUGCUUUACAUGCAGAAGGUCCCGGGUUCGCACCUCAGGUGGAGCCA
rfam:Pteropus alecto contig129179, whole genome shotgun sequence.